ensembl:lncRNA
CGGCCACGUGAAAGCAGGAAGGAAUGGGGAUGUUUGAGCCCGUUGGUUUGGUUCGAAUGGGAGAGGUGGAUCAGAAAAGUAGACAUACUAUUCUAGGUAUCCUAUAGAAUGUUACGUAUUCGACUCUGUGUGGUGAUUUUCAUACUCGGUGCCGAGUCAUUUGGAGCGGUGUUGGAGUGCAUAUUGGACAGAGACCGAGACAGGAUCCGCAGCUCAACAGUGACUACAGAGUCCCUCCCAGCAUCAGCUCCGGGCAAGGGGCGACGAUUUGCAUGUCACCCCGGGUGUCACGACGUUCUUAUGAAUGACAGCCAAAGAAGAGGACCAGAGGAGGAUCAGACAGGAGAACCAGAGGGCGACCAGAGAGGAGGACCAGAGAGGAGGACCAGAGAGGAGGACCAGAGCCAAGAACCCGAGCCCCAGCAGAGCGAAGCCCUGGCAAUGACGGCAGAGCAGGAUUGGAGAACCUAUUGUAUGGAGGAUCAAAUCACAGCAGGGUGCGGACUGCAGCUGUGCUGUGUGUGUGUGUG